rnacentral:rRNA from 1 species
UUGCACGCUGGCGGCAUGCUUUACCCAUGCAAGUCGAACGGCAGCGAGGAGAAGCUUGCUUCUCUGUCGGCGAGUGGCGAACGGGUGAGUAUAGCAUCGGAACGUGCCAAGUAGUGGGGGAUAACCAAACGAAAGUUUGGCUAAUACCGCGUAAGCUCUAAGGAGGAAAGUAGGGGACCUAAAUAAGGCCUUACGCUAUUUGAUCGGCCGAUGUCGGAUUAGCUAGUUGGUGGGGUAAUGGCUCACCAAGGCAAUGAUCCGUAGCGGGUCUGAGAGGACGAUCCGCCACACUGGGACUGAGACACGGCCCAGACUCCUACGGGAGGCAGCAGUGGGGAAUUUUGGACAAUGGGGGAAACCCUGAUCCAGCCAUGCCGCGUGUAUGAAGAAGGCCUUAGGGUUGUAAAGUACUUUUGUUAGGGAAGAAAAGCUAGUUUUUAAUAAAAAUUAGUGAUGACGGUACCUAAAGAAUAAGCACCGGCUAACUACGUG